rnacentral:rRNA from 1 species
CCUUUAAUGGCUGGUGUUCUAACGUGGGCCCGUGAUCCGGGUUGCGGACAGUGUCUGGUGGGUAGUUUGACUGGGGCGGUCUCCUCCUAAAGAGUAACGGAGGAGCACGAAGGUCAGCUAAUCCUGGUCGGACAUCAGGAGGUUAGUGCAAUGGCAUAAGCUGGCUUGACUGCGAGCGUGACGGCGCGAGCAGGUGCGAAAGCAGGUCAUAGUGAUCCGGUGGUUCUGAAUGGAAGGGCCAUCGCUCAACGGAUAAAAGGUACUCCGGGGAUAACAGGCUGAUACCGCCCAAGAGUUCAUAUCGACGGCGGUGUUUGGCACCUCGAUGUCGGCUCAUCACAUCCUGGGGCUGAAGUAGGUCCCAAGGGUAUGGCUGUUCGCCAUUUAAAGUGGUACGCGAGCUGGGUUUAGAACGUCGUGAGACAGUUCGGUCCCUAUCUGCCGUGGGCGCUGGAGAAUUGAGGGGGGCUGCUCCUAGUACGAGAGGACCGGAGUGGACGCAUCACUGGUGUUCGGGUUGUCAUGCCAAUGGCAUUGCCCGGUAGCUAAAUGCGGAAGAGAUAAGUGCUGAAAGCAUCUAAGCACGAAACUUGCCCCGAGAUGAGUUCUCCCUGACUCCUUGAGAGUCCUGAAGGAACGUUGAAGACGACGACGUUGAUAGGCCGGGUGUGUAAGCGCAGCGAUGCGUUGAGCUAACCGGUACUAAUGAACCGUGAGGCUUAACCUUAC